GCCUCCUCUCGCCCUCUCCAAGCACAAGGGACCCGCAAUCUCUGCUUGCACCGCUAGAGGGAGGGAAACUACACGGAAUUACAACCUCCCCCGUCCGUCUGUCCGACCGUACGCUGUAGGAAUGACAGUAAAUAUUCUCCCAGUAUUGUUUUCUACGAGGAAUUGGUUAAAAAUGGACAAGAUAAAAGCAUCAGUGGUGUCACAGUGCUCUUCGCAGAAACGCUCCCUCAGAGAAGGAUGGAAAUGUUGAGCUGUGUCUUUGUUCUGGAGCCCCAGUCUUUACCAAAAGCUUUGUGCUUGGCCACAGACAUGAAUAAAGGGAGCAAAGCACAGGAUAAAGCAUCUCUGUGGUUCCUGAGUGUCAGUCCUCAUCACCCAACCACUGAGGCACAGGACAGACAGGAUCAG
ensembl:lncRNA